rnacentral:tRNA from 1 species
CGGAGCGUGGCGCAGCCUGGUAGCGCACUACAAUGGGGUUGUAGGGGUCGCUGGUUCGAAUCCAGUCGCUCCGA